CCUACGGGAGGCUGCAGUGGGGAAUAUUGGACAAUGGGGGGAACCCUGAUCCAGCCAUGCCGCGUGUGUGAAGAAGGCCCUCGGGUUGUAAAGCACUUUCAGUGAGGAAGAACGCCUGGUGGUUAAUACCCAUCAGGAAAGACAUCACUCACAGAAGAAGCACCGGCUAACUCCGUGCCAGCAGCCGCGGUAAUACGGAGGGUGCGAGCGUUAAUCGGAAUUACUGGGCGUAAAGCGCGCGUAGGUGGCUUGAUAAGCCGGUUGUGAAAGCCCCGGGCUCAACCUGGGAACGGCAUCCGGAACUGUCAUGCUAGAGUGCAGGAGAGGAAGGUAGAAUUCCCGGUGUAGCGGUGAAAUGCGUAGAGAUCGGGAGGAAUACCAGUGGCGAAGGCGGCCUUCUGGACUGACACUGACACUGAGGUGCGAAAGCGUGGGUAGCAAACAGGAUUAGAUACCCCGGUAGUC
rnacentral:rRNA from 1 species